UUACGGCCACAUCACGUUAAAACACCGGUUCCCGUACGAUCACCGAAGUUGAGCAACGUCGAGCUUUAUCAUUACAUAGAUGGGUGACCGCUUAGCAAUACCAGCUGCU